CUGGUGUUAGAGGCAGCCUCAAGAAGUGAAGUUAAUUACUAGGAAUAAUAUUAUUAAUCGUGUCCUUUUCUUUUUCUUGCUCUUUAUUUUUAUUCCUGGGUAUGUUUGUGGUGUUUAGAUGAUGAUGUUGUUGUUAUGCUUUUGAUGAUGAUGGUAUUGCGGAAAAAAAACAACAAAAAUUCUGAUGGUUUGUGGAAUGUAUAUUAGAGAUAUGAUUAUCAUGUGGUUAUGUUAAUGGGUGUUUUUCAAAUUUGUUGCCGCUCUUUUCGGUUUUAUUUUGUUAUGUUUUUGAUGAUGAUGGUAUUGCGGGGAAAAAAACAAAAAUUCUGAUGGUUUGUGGAAUGUAUAUUAGAGAUAUGAUUAUCAUGUGGUUAUGUUAAUGGGUGUUUUUCAAAUUUGUUGCCGCUCUUUUCGGUUUUAUUUUGUUAUGUUUUUGAUGAUGAUGGUAUUGUGGGAAAAAAAACAAAAAUUCUGAUGGUUUGUGGAAUGUAUAUUAGAGAUAUGAUUAUCAUGUGGUUAUGUUGAUGGGUGUUUUUCAAAUUUGUUGCCGCUCUUUUCAGUUUUAUGUUAUGUUUUUGAUGAUGAUGGUAUUGCAGAAAAAAACCAACAAAAAUUCUGAUGGUUUGUGGAAUGUAUAUUAGAGAUAUGAUUAUCAUGUGGUUAUGUUGAUGGGUGUUUUUCAAAUUUGUUGCCGCUCUUUUCGGUUUUAUUUUGUUAUGUUUUUGAUGAUGAUGGUAUUGUGGAAAAAAACAACAAAAAUUCUGAUGGUUUGUGGAAUGUAUAUUAGAGAUAUGAUUAUCAUGUGGUUAUGUUAACGGGUGUUUUUCAAAUUUGUUGCCGCUCUUUUCAGUUUUAUUUUGUUUGCUAUACUAUUUGAUGAUGAUCAUGAUAUUGCUGUUUGUAGAUAAUGUUCUGUUAUAGCUGUUUGCUGACAAUGUUCCCUCAACCCUCCACUUGGAACCCUAAAAUUAGUAGUUUUUAUUUGACAUUUGAGCAG
rnacentral:lncRNA from 1 species